CCUUCCUCCAAGCCAUAGGUCCCCUUCUCUUCUUCUCCAAACCCAAGUUUUCCCUCAAGACUCUUCUCCCACCGCCUCUUACACCUCAAAUCGACCCUUAGGAACCACGUUCCUCCCCUUCUCCCUCUUCAUUUGGAGCGAUUUGAGUGUGCCCUAGAUUCUACCCGUCUCUUCCAAAUCGGGGUAUCACUCCUCCAAAAAUCCCUAUCCUUCCACUAGAAACCCUUCAUCUCUCCCUCACAUUUGCUCUCCCAAGCUCCAUGCUAGUCUCGUCAGUGC
rnacentral:lncRNA from 1 species